UACGUAGGGUGCGAGCGUUGUCCGGAAUUAUUGGGCGUAAAGAGCUUGUAGGCGGUUUGUCGCGUCUGCCGUGAAAAUUCGAGGCUCAACCUCGAACUUGCGGUGGGUACGGGCAGACUAGAGUUCGGCAGGGGGAGACUGGAAUUCCUGGUGUAGCGGUGAAAUGCGCAGAUAUCAGGAGGAACACCGGUGGCGAAGGCGGGUCUCUGGGCAUUAACUGACGCUGAGGAGCGAAAGCAUGGGGAGCGAACAGG
rnacentral:rRNA from 1 species